rnacentral:rRNA from 1 species
GGUUGAUCCUGCCAGUAGUCAUAUGCUUGUCUCAAAGAUUAAGCCAUGCAUGUCUAAGUAUAAGCUUGUUUAUACGGCGAGACUGCGGAUGGCUCAUUAAAUCAGUUAUAGUUUAUUUGAUGGUCUCUUUUGUCUUUUUUUACCUACUUGGAUAACCGUGGUAAUUCUAGAGCUAAUACAUGCGCAAGGUCCCGAGCGCGGGGGGUGGGGCUUCACGGCUCCAUUCUCGCAUGCGCAGAGGGAUGUAUUUAUUAGGUUAAAAACCAGCGUAGUCAGCAAUGGCUACAAACUC